GGGGAUGGGGCUCAGUUGGUAGAGUGCAUGCCUCACAUGCACAAGGCCCUGGGUUCAAUCCCCAGCACCCCUC
rnacentral:tRNA from 1 species